rnacentral:sRNA from 1 species
ACAUAACGGAGCCCGCACACAAGCUUCCGAAAUCGCGGUCUAGUCUAGGGAGGACAUGAUUUCCGGCGCGCCUUUGGCUGCAGCCCCGGCGAACAAGCCGGCAGGAAAUCGAGACCUGCACAUCCUGGAAAUGCAAGGCUUCGGCCUUGCAUUUUUUU